UGGCAGUCUAGAGUCUUGGAGAGGGGAGUGGAAUUCCAGGUGUAGCGGUGAAAUGCGUAGAGAUCUGGAGGAACAUCAGUGGCGAAGGCGGCUCCCUGGCCAAAGACUGACGCUCAUGUGCGAAAGCGUGGGUAGCGAACAGGAUUAGAUACCCUGGUAGUCCACGCCGUAAACGCUGUCUACUAGCUGUCUGUGGCUUUAAGUCGUGGGUAGCGCAGCAAACGCGAUAAGUAGACCGCCUGGGGAGUACGGCCGCAAGGUUAAAACUCAAAUGAAUUGACGGGGGCCCGCACAAGCGGUGGAGCAUGUGGUUUAAUUCGAUGCAACGCGAAGAACCUUACCUACUCUUGACAUCCACAGAACUUGGUAGAGAUACCUUGGUGCCUUCGGGACCUGUGAGACAGGUGCUGCAUGGCUGUCGUCAGCUCGUGUCGUGAGAUGUUGGGUUAAGUCCCGCAACGAGCGCAACCCUUGUCCUUAGUUGCCAGCCUUAAGUUGGGCACUCUAAGGAGACUGCCGGUGACAAACCGGAGGAAGGUGGGGACGACGUCAAGUCAUCAUGGCCCUUACGAGUAGGGCUACACACGUGCUACAAUGGACAGUACAGAGGGAAGCGAGACCGCGAGGUGGAGCGGAUCCCUUAAAGCUGUUCGUAGUCCGGAUCGGAGUCUGCAACUCGACUCCGUGAAGUCGGAAUCGCUAGUAAUCGCAGAUCAGAAUGCUGCGGUGAAUACGUUCCCGGGCCUUGUACACACCGCCCGUCACACCAUGGGAGUGGGCUGCAAAAGAAGUAGGUAGCUUAACCUUCGGGAGAGCGCUUACCACUUUGUGGUUCAUGACUGGGGUGAAGUCGUAACAAGGUACCCG
rnacentral:rRNA from 1 species